GAUGAAGAACGCAGCGAAAUGCGAUAAGUAAUGUGAAUUGCAGAAUUCAGUGAAUCAUCGAAUCUUUGAACGCAUCUUGCGCUCCUUGGUAUUCCUUGGAGCAUGCCUGUUUGAGUAUCAUGAGCAAAUCUCAAAGUCAAUUCCUUUUGUUAAUUCAAUUGGUUUUGCUUUGGACUUGGAGGUCUUGCAGAUUUCACAGUCUGCUCCUCUUAAAUGCAUUAGCUGGAUCUCAGUAAUUAUGCUUGGUUCCACUCGGCGUGAUAAGUAUCACUCGCUGAGGACAUUGUUAAAAAGGUGGCCAGGAAAAUACUGAUUGAACCGCUUCUAACGGUCUAUUAAGUUAGACAAUUACCCUUAAGUUUGAUCUCAAAUCAGGUAGGACUACCCGCUGAACUUAAGCAUAUCAAUAAGCGGAGGA
rnacentral:misc_RNA from 1 species